GACGAACGCUGGCGGCGUGCUUAACACAUGCAAGUCGAACGGAAAGGCCCUGCUUUUGUGGGGUGCUCGAGUGGCGAACGGGUGAGUAACACGUGAGUAACCUGCCCUUGACUUUGGGAUAACUUCAGGAAACUGGGGCUAAUACCGGAUAGGAGCUCCUGCUGCAUGGUGGGGGUUGGAAAGUUUCGGCGGUUGGGGAUGGACUCGCGGCUUAUCAGCUUGUUGGUGGGGUAGGGGCUUACCAAGGCUUUGACGGGUAGCCGGCCUGAGAGGGUGACCGGCCACAUUGGGACUGAGAUACGGCCCAGACUGCUACGGGAGGCAGGAGUGGGGAAUAUUGCACAAUGGGCGGAAGCAUGAUGCAGCAACGCCGCGUGCGGGAUGACGGCCUUCGGGUUGUAAACCGCUUUCGCCUGUGACGAAGCGUGAGUGACGGUAAUGGGUAAAGAAGCACCGGCUAACUACGU
rnacentral:rRNA from 1 species